AGACAGACGGCGGGUGCUAAGGUCCGUCGUCGAAAGGGAAACAGCCCAGACCGCCAGCUAAGGUCCCUAAACCAUGAUUAAGUGGGAAACGAUGUGGGAAGGCCUAGACACCCAGGAGGUUGGCUUGGAAGCAGCCAUCCUUUAAAGAAAGCGUAACAGCUCACUGGUCAAGUCGGCCCGCGCGGAAGAUGUACCGGGUCUCAAAUCAUGUACCGAAGCUGCGGGCUUGCAACGCAAGUUGUGAGCGGUAGAGGAGCGUUCUGUAAGCCGUUGAAGGCACAUCGCGAGGUGUGUUGGAGGUAUCAGAAGUGAGAAUGCUGACAUAAGUAACGAUAAAGGGGGUUAGAAUCCCCCUCGCCGAAAGACCAAGGGUUCCUGUGCAACGUUCAUCGACGCAGGGUGAGUCGGCCCCUAAGGCCAGGCCGAAAGGCGUAGCUGAUGGGUAGCUGGUUAAUAUUCCAGCACCGAUAUUUGUUGCGAUGGGGUAACGGAGAAGGCUGGGCGAUCCUACUGUUGGUUAUGUAGGUUUAAGCCGGUAGGCUGAGAUUUUAGGAAAAUCCGGAGUCUCUUAAAGCCGAGAAGUGAUGACGAACGGAUGAAUUUCCGUGAAGUCGCCGAUGCCACGCUUCCAAGAAAAACCUCUAAGCUUCAGGCAAAUAUUGACCGUACCCUAAACCGACACAGGUGGUCGGGUAGAGAAUACUAAGGCGCUUGAGAGAACUCGGGUGAAGGAACUAGGCAAAUUGGCACCGUAACUUCGGGAGAAGGUGCGCCGCUACUGGUGAGAGGACUUGCUCCUUGAGCUGAUGGCGGCCGAAGUGACCAGGUAGCUGCGACUGUUUACUAAAAACACAGCACUCUGCAAACUCGUAAGAGGACGUAUAGGGUGUGACGCCUGCCCGGUGCCGGAAGGUUAAUUGAUGGGGUUAGCUUCGGCGAAGCUCCUGAUCGAAGCCCCGGUAAACGGCGGCCGUAACUAUAACGGUCCUAAGGUAGCGAAAUUCCUUGUCGGGUAAGUUCCGACCUGCACGAAUGGCGUAACGAUGGCCACACUGUCUCCACCUGAGACUCAGUGAAAUUGAAAUCGCGGUGAAGAUGCCGUGUUCCCGCGGCUAGACGGAAAGACCCCGUGAACCUUUACUACAGCUUCACACUGGAUUUUGAUUUGGUUUGUGUAGCAUAGGUGGGAGACUUUGAAGCGUAGGCGCUAGCUUGCGUGGAGUCAUCGUUGAAAUACCACCCUUGCCACGUUGGGAUCCUAACUCAGGCCCAAAAUCAGGGUCGAGAACAGUGUGUGGUGGGUAGUUUGACUGGGGCGGUCUCCUCCCAAAGAGUAACGGAGGAGCACGAAGGUGCACUCAGCAUGGUCGGAAAUCAUGCGGUGCGUGCAAAGGCAGAAGUGCGCUUGACUGCGAGACCGACGGGUCGAGCAGGGUCGAAAGACGGUCUUAGUGAUCUUGUGGUUCUGAAUGGAAGGGCCAUGACUCAACGGAUAAAAGGUACUCCGGGGAUAACAGGCUGAUACCGCCCAAGAGUUCACAUCGACGGCGGUGUUUGGCACCUCGAUGUCGGCUCAUCACAUCCUGGGGCUGAAGCGGGUCCCAAGGGUAUGGCUGUUCGCCAUUUAAAGUGGUACGCGAGCUGGGUUUAGAACGUCGUGAGACAGUUCGGUCCCUAUCUGCCGUGGGCGUUUGAGAAUUGCGAGGAGCUACUCCUAGUACGAGAGGACCGGAGUGGACGAACCUCUGGUGUUCCGGUUGUUACGCCAGUAGCAUUGCCGGGUAGCUAAGUUCGGACGGGAUAACCGCUGAAAGCAUCUAAGCGGGAAGCCUCCCUCAAGAUAAGUUCUCACAAAUCUUUAAGAUUUCUGAAGGGCCCUCGUAGACUACGAGGUUGAUAGGCGGGAUGUGGAAGCGCCGUGAGGCGUUAAGCUAACCCGUACUAAUUGCCCGUGCGACUUGACCAUAUAACC
rnacentral:rRNA from 1 species